rnacentral:rRNA from 1 species
AUUGAACGCUGGCGGCAUGCCUUACACAUGCAAGUCGAACGGUAACAGGGAGCUUGCUCCGCUGACGAGUGGCGAACGGGUGAGUAACGUAUCGGAACGUACCUUUCAGUGGGGGAUAACGCAGCGAAAGUUGCGCUAAUACCGCAUAUUCUGUGAGCAGGAAAGCAGGGGAUCGCAAGACCUUGCGCUGAUUGAGCGGCCGAUAUCAGAUUAGCUAGUUGGUGAGGUAAAGGCUCACCAAGGCGACGAUCUGUAGCGGGUCUGAGAGGAUGAUCCGCCACACUGGAACUGAGACACGGUCCAGACUCCUACGGGAGGCAGCAGUGGGGAAUUUUGGACAAUGGGGGCAACCCUGAUCCAGCCAUGCCGCGUGAGUGAAGAAGGCCUUCGGGUCGUAAAGCUCUUUCGGCCGGGAAGAAAUCGCACAG